UAUAAAUAAAUUUUUAUAGUUUAAAAAUUUUAAUUUAAAUUUAUUUUACAUAUAAAUUAUAGUGUUAAUUUUUAAUUAUUUAAAUAAUUUUUAAAAUUAUAUGGUAGUAAUUAUUAUUAAAAAUUUAAGAAAUUAAGAUUUAGUAAUAUUUAAUUAUUAUUAACAAAUUUUGUGCCAGCAGUUGCGGUUAAACAAAAAAUAAUUUAAAUUUUAUCAGUAUUUAAUAAAUAUUAAAUAAAAAAUAAAUAUAAUAAAUUAUUAGGUGAAAUUUUAAUUAAUGAAAAAUUUUUUUAAUAUAUGAAUUAAUAGAUUUUAUAAAAAACUAGGAUUAGAUACCCUAUUAUUAAAAAUUAAUUUAAAAAUACUAAAAUAGUAUAUAAUUAUUUAUAAAAACUUAAAUAAUUUGGCGGUAUUUUAGUUCAUUUAGAGGAAUCUGUCUAAUAAUUGAUAAUCCACGAAUAAAUUUACUUAAUUAAUAAAUUUUGUAUAUCGUUGUUAAAAAAAUAUUUUUUAAUAAAAAUAAUAUUUUAAAAUUUAUUCAAAAAAUUAAUUCAGAUCAAGAUGCAGAUUAUAAUUAAGAAUAUGAUGGAUUACAAUAAGAAAAAAUUAAAUGAAUAAUAUUUUGUAAAAAAUAUUUGAAGGUGGAUUUAAAUGUAAUUUUAUUUAAUUUAAUAAAAUGAAUAAAAAUUGAAAUAUGUACAUAUUGCCCGUCGCUUUCAUUAAUAAAUUGAAAUAAGUCGUAACAAAGUAGGAGUACUGGAAAGUGUUCCUAGAAAGAA
rnacentral:ncRNA from 1 species